rnacentral:rRNA from 1 species
AUUGAACGCUGGCGGCACGCCUAACACAUGCAAGUCGAGCGGCAGCGAGACUAGUAGCAAUACUAGUUGUCGGCGAGCGGCGGACGGGUGAGUAACACGUAGGAAUCUGCCCUUAAGCGGGGGAUAACCAAGGGAAACUUUGGCUAAUACCGCAUAACCUCGAGAGAGCAAAGCUGCCCGCAAGGGUGGCACUUGAGGAGGAGCCUGCGUCCGAUUAGCUAGUUGGUGGGGUAAUGGCCUACCAAGGCGGUGAUCGGUAACUGGUCUGAGAGGGCGAGCCGUCAGACUUGGACUGAGACACGGCCCAGACUCCUACGGGAGGCAGCAGUGGGGAAUAUUGGACAAUGGGGGCAACCCUGAUCCAGCGAUGCCGCGUGAGUGAAGAAGGCCUUCGGGUCGUAAAGCUCUUUAGGUUGGGAAGAAGGGUAUUGGCUGAAUAAUCCAGUACUUUGACGGUACCGACAGAAUAAGCACCGGCAAACUCUGUGCCAGCAGCCGCAGUAAUAC